GAUGAACGCUGGCGGCGUGCCUAAUACAUGCAAGUCGAGCGAACGGACGAGAAGCUUGCUUCUCUGAUGUUAGCGGCGGACGGGUGAGUAACACGUGGAUAACCUACCUAUAAGACUGGGAUAACUUCGGGAAACCGUAGCUAAUACCGGAUAAUAUUUUGAACCGCAUGGUUCAAAAGUGAAAGACGGUCCUGCUGUCACUUAUAGAUGGAUCCGCGCUGCAUUAGCUAGUUGGUAAGGUAACGGCUUACCAAGGCAACGAUGCAUAGCCGACCUGAGAGGGUGAUCGGCCACACUGGAACUGAGACACGGUCCAGACUCCUACGGGAGGCAGCAGUAGGGAAUCUUCCGUAAUGGGCGAAAGCCUGACGGAGCAACGCCGCGUGAGUGAUGAAGGUCUUCGGAUCGUAAAACUCUGUUAUUAGGGAAGAACAUAUGUGUAAGUAACUGUGCACAUCUUGACGGUACCUAAUCAGAAAGCCACGGCUAACUACGUG
rnacentral:rRNA from 1 species